GAUGAACGCUGGCGGCGCGCCUAACACAUGCAAGUCGAACGAUUAAAGCACCUUCGGGUGUGUAUAAAGUGGCGAACGGCUGAGUAACACGUGGGCAACCUGCCCCUCUCAUUGGGAUAGCCACGGGAAACCGCGGAUAAUACCGAAUACUUCGAGACUUCCGCAUGAAAGACUCGAGAAAGCUCCGGCGGAGAGGGAUAGGCCCGCGGCCUGUUAGCUUGUUGGUGGGGUAACGGCCUACCAAGGCAAUGAUGGGUAGCUGGGUUGAGAGACCGACCAGCCAGAUUGGGACUGAGACACGGCCCAGACUCCUACGGGAGGCAGCAGUGGGGAAUCUUGCACAAUGGGCGAAAGCCUGAUGCAGCGACGCCGCGUGCGGGAUGAAGGCCUUCGGGUUGUAAACCGCUUUCAGCAGGGACGAGGCGAAAGUGACGGUACCUGCAGAAGAAGCCCCGGCUAACUACGUGCCAGCAGCCGCGGUAAUACGUAGGGGGCAAGCGUUAUCCGGAUUCAUUGGGCGUAAAGCGCUCGUAGGCGGUCUGUUAGGUCGGGAGUUAAAUCCGGGGGCUCAACCCCCGUUCGCUCCCGAUACCGGCAGACUUGAGUUUGGUAGGGGAAGGUGGAAUUCCUAGUGUAGCGGUGGAAUGCGCAGAUAUUAGGAAGAACACCAGUGGCGAAGGCGGCCUUCUGGGCCAUAACUGACGCUGAGGAGCGAAAGCUAGGGGAGCAAACAGG
rnacentral:rRNA from 1 species